UAUGGCCAUAUCACCCUGAAAACGCCAGAUCUCAUCUAAUCUUGGAAGCUAAGCAGGGUCGGGCCUGGUUAGUACUUGUGUCUUCGCCACAC
rnacentral:rRNA from 1 species